GUGGGGAAUAUUGGACAAUGGGCGAAAGCCUGAUCCAGCCAUGCCGCGUGUGUGAAGAAGGCCUUUUGGUUGUAAAGCACUUUAAGCGAGGAGGAGGCUACCGAGAUUAAUACUCUUGGAUAGUGGACGUUACUCGCAGAAUAAGCACCGGCUAACUCUGUGCCAGCAGCCGCGGUAAUACAGAGGGUGCAAGCGUUAAUCGGAUUUACUGGGCGUAAAGCGCGCGUAGGUAGCCAAUUAAGUCAAAUGUGAAAUCCCCGAGCUUAACUUGGGAAUUGCAUUCGAUACUGGUUAGCUAGAGUAUGGGAGAGGAUGGUAGAAUUCCAGGUGUAGCGGUGAAAUGCGUAGAGAUCUGGAGGAAUACCGAUGGCGAAGGCAGCCAUCUGGCCUAAUACUGACACUGAGGUGCGAAAGCAUGGGGAGCAAACAGGAUUAGAAACCCUGGUAGUCC
rnacentral:rRNA from 1 species